rnacentral:rRNA from 1 species
GACGAACGCUGGCGGCGUGCUUAACACAUGCAAGUCGAACGGUAAGGCCCUUCGGGGUACACGAGUGGCGAACGGGUGAGUAACACGUGGGUGAUCUGCCCUGCACUUCGGGAUAAGCCUGGGAAACUGGGGCUAAUACCGGAUAGGACCACUGCCUGCAUGGGCGGUGGUGGAAAGCUUUUGCGGUGUGGGAUGGGCCCGCGGCCUAUCAGCUUGUUGGUGGGGUGAUGGCCUACCAAGGCGACGACGGGUAGCCGGCCUGAGAGGGUGACCGGCCACACUGGGACUGAGAUACGGCCCAGACUCCUACGGGAGGCAGCAGUGGGGAAUAUUGCACAAUGGGCGCAAGCCUGAUGCAGCGACGCCGCGUGAGGGAUGACGGCCUUCGGGUUGUAAACCUCUUUCAGCACCGACGAAGCGCAAGUGACGGUAGGUGCAGAAGAAGGACCGGCCAACUACGUGCCAGCCGCCGCCGUAAAAC